GUUUUUAGUUAUAGCUAUGUUAGGGGGAUAUCUGUGUGUGCAGGUGACUAUUACUGUGCAUAAUUAUUAGGCAACUUAACAAAAAACAAAUAUAUACCCAUUUCAAUUAUUUAUUAUUACCAGUGAAACCAAUAUAACAUCUCAACAUUCACAAAUAUACAUUUCUGACAUUCAAAAACAAAACAAAAACAAAUCAGUGACCAAUAUAGCCACCUUUCUUUGCAAGGACACUCAAAAGCCUGCCAUCCGUGGAUUCUGUCAGUGUUUUGAUCUGUUCACCAUCAACAUUGCGUGCAGCAGCAACCACAGCCUCCCAGACACUGUUCAGAGAGGUGUACUGUUUUCCCUCCUUGUAAAUCUCACAUUUGAUGAUGGACCACAGGUUCUCAAUGGGGUUCAGAUCAGGUGAACAAGGAGGCCAUGUCAUUAGAUUUUCUUCUUUUAUACCCUUUCUUGCCAGCCACGCUGUGGAGUACUUGGACGCGUGUGAUGGAGCAUUGUCCUGCAUGAAAAUCAUGUUUUUCUUGAAGGAUGCAGACUUCUUCCUG